rnacentral:rRNA from 1 species
AACGAACGCUGGCGGCAGGCCUAAAACAUGCAAGUCGAACGAACCUUCGGGUUAGUGGCCCACGGGUGCGUAACGCGUGGGCAUAUGCACUUCACUGCGGAACAACGUCGGGAAACUGACGCUAAUACCGCAUAUUGACUCCGGUCCAAAGAUUUAUGGGUGAAGGAUUAGCCCGCGUCUGAUUGGGUAGUUGGUGAGGUAAUGGCUCACCAAGCCGACGAUCAGUAGCUGGUCUGAGAGGAUGAUCAGCCACACUGGGACGGAGACACGGCCCAGACUCCUACGGGAGGCAGCAGUUAGGAAUAUUGGAAAAUGGGGGAAACCCUGAUCCAGCCAUGCCGCGGGUGUGAAGAAGGCCUUAGGGUUGUAAAGCACUUUCGUCUGUGAAGAUAAUGACGGUAGCAGAAGAAGAAGCUCCGGCUAAAUUCGUGCCAGCCGCCGCUGUAA